GUCUGCAGACAUGAGAAUUGUGAACUCCAUCCCACACUUCAUAUAGUUGGGGCACUGCUGCUUUAGUGUGGCUAUUUUAUAUUCCACUUUAUUAUGACUCUAUCUAUGUAAAUGUAAACACAGCUUCCCUGGACAUAAUUUCAUAAAGCUAAGCUAUCGCCUAUCUUUAGCACUGAAAUUCAAGUGGCAAGCCUGACAAGCAAAGAAAAAUGAGCGUAGUUAACUCUCACCAUCCACCAUCCCUGCUCAUCCGAAAGCUUAUGUCAGUUUCUAAACAAGCUUUUCAUUUUUCUAUUCAGUCUGCUGAUCUUUGUUGAUUUACAGCACGGAGGAGCAUAGCACAUGGUACCUCGUAGAGUGAAUUUUUCCUAAAUAAUAAAACAUUUAUUGCAGACACAUCAAGCUCGCUAGUGGCUCGAAAUUAUUGUGGCAAUGAAGUGCCGUGUUAGCAACUCAUUUACAUCCUACCAGCGACUCUCCAUUACCAAGGAUCCCAUAGAAAGUACAUCACCCCAUGACAGCUGGAAGCAAUUUUAGAAGAUGACGUCCCCUCUUCCAACAAUCUUUGUUCUCAAGCUGCUGGAUUUGGUUCCUGUUCCCCAUGUGUGCAGAGGACUGUGAUC